AAAAGAUUUACAUGCAGUGCAAUGUAUUUUUACCACAAUGUUAUUUGAUUUUUUAUUUGUCUUCUACAACUUUUCUUGUUUUAAAGUUGUAGAAGACAAAUAGUGUUAGACAUUGCCAUCAUUUGCCCAUCCACAGACGAGGUCUAACAGUACACCAGUAAGUUUAAAGGGUUGUUUGGUAUCUCUUUUAUGAAGAGGACUUGUAUAAAUAUUCUCUUAUGAAGUCAGCUGCCUAAUUUGAAGUAAUGUAAUGUAUGUAUGAAUACUCCUUAUGAUUUGCAACCCAAUUUAGCCAAAACUUAUCAUUAUGACCUCUAUAACUGUAAUGAAAUAAAAUACAUUAAAGGAAAUGUAAUAAGAUGUUUUUUGGGCAGAAUAUAUCUUCAGUUAUCAACUGAUAAUUUUUGAACUAAUAUGACCCCUUUAAACAAUAUAAUACACAUCAAGUGAAAUACCAAGUUAGCUGGAAUAGUUGAACACUCUUCUACGAGAUUUUUAUUCUAAAGACUGAAUCUUACAUUAGAGUAAUCUACCAUCAUGAAUAUUAAGGCCCUUGAAAUGGGAUAAACAACUUGAAUACAAAACUUAAUUUCUCUCUUUUUUUCUUAUUUCAAAGGAGUAGGUCCAGUAAGACCCCUUUUUGACCCCAAACUAUAGCGGUUUUACAAAGAUGUUCAAAUGUAAACUAUUAGUUAUUUAUUGGAAAGUAGAAUGCUUCUACUACAUAAAUAUGAGCUGUUUUUGACAAAACAAUGCACAUAUAUUGGGUACCACCAUCAUUAAGUCAUGCUAAAUUACUGAAAUCUUCACAGUUUUAGCAUUUUAGUUAAAUUUUAGACAGUUUCCGUCUUAAAUGAAAGUUUCAGCAUUUGUGUUUAUUCUUAAUAUUGAAAUGUAAGUAAUAUUUGAUGAUAAUACAUAGCAUAUAUAAUGGUUGAGGAUAAACACGGAUGCGGCCACUUUCAUUUUUGACAAAAACCAUCGUCAUCAUUUUUUUUUCAUAUUUGAUAGAUUAUUCAUAUUGAAGCUUGAAUUGGAGUAUUUUUAAUGGCUAAAUCAGUUAAAAUCUUUCACAUAAACUAAUUUAAUCAACUAAAAUAGAAACUUUGACUCUAAUGUUUAAAAAGUGUUCAAAAACUUUCUUCAGAUGAACCCCAAAUUUGAGUUCAAAAUCAGCCCUUACUGGACCUACGUCUUUAUUGUACGAUCAAAACCCAUUUUGAAAAUAAAAUGGUUUAUUGUGCAUCAUAUUAAAUGUCUUUCUGUCACACCAUGCUGUACUUUGCACUACCUUUUAUUUGAAGUUUAUAUGUGUCUAGUCAUGAAAGUUUACACCAAUAUAGCUUUGAUGUCCAGAAUAUGUUGAAUAAUAUAUAUUUUGUCU
rnacentral:lncRNA from 1 species